UACGUAGGGGGCUAGCGUUGUCCGGAAUCAUUGGGCGUAAAGCGCGCGUAGGCGGUCAGGAAAGUCCGGUGUGAAAGUCAUAGGCUCAACCUAUGGAUGCCGCUGGAAACUGCCCGACUUGAGUCCGGAAGGGGCGAGUGGAAUUCCUGGUGUAGCGGUGAAAUGCGCAGAUAUCAGGAGGAACACCAAUGGCGAAGGCAGCUCGCUGGAACGGUACUGACGCUGAGGCGCGAAAGCGUGGGGAGCGAACAGG
rnacentral:rRNA from 1 species